UUUGUUCGGGUAGUAUUAGUUAUGUUCUUGAAACCCAAAGGAUUUGGCGGUAUUUUAGUCUUUUCAGAGGAACCUGCCCCUUAAUUCGACACCCCACGAUUUUAUUUACUUUUACUUGCAGUUUGUAUACCUCCGUCAUAAGAGAGUCUUUUUAGAGUAAUUUUCUUUUUCUUUAAAUAAUAAUAUGUCAGGUCAAGGUGCAAUUUAUGUAAAAGUGGUGGUGGGUUACAAUGUAGUUAUAUAAACGGAUUGGAAUUUUUACAUUUUCAUGAAGGUGGAUUUGACAGUAAGAUUAUAUUUUUUAUUGAUCUGAUUUUAGCUCUAAAAUAUGCCACACAUCGCCCGUCGCUCUCACUUUAAAGUGAGAUAAGUCGUAACAUAGUAGGCGUAUCGGAAGAUGUGCCUAGU
rnacentral:rRNA from 1 species